rnacentral:tRNA from 1 species
GGCGGAAUAGCUCAGUAGGCUAUAGCGAUUUACUUCAGGACUCCAGGGGUCACUGGUUCGAAACCUGCUCCGGGCA